UGUGGGAGGCAGUGGAAGACAGGAGUGCCUGGCGUGCUCUGGCCCAUCGGGUCACGAAGAGUCGGACACAACUAAAAGACUAAACAACAACAACAAAGGCCAUUCAAGGCUGGAUUCUGCUGUGUGGCAGGCAGGCAUUCAACGGGUGAGCCUUUCCCCCCAUUCAUCCCCCCUCCAAGGGAAAUUUCCCCUUCUGGAUUCCUGCCUGUUGCAAAGCUGUUAAAACUUUUAUAUUUUCAACCGCAGUUGCAACUUUACGGGUUGAAAACCCCCCCAAUAUCUGCAUGCAAUACAGGCAGGCAGAAAUCCAACAGGACAUUGUUUCCUCUCUUUCCUCUUGCCCUGGUUUUGCAAUCCUUUGACCAUUCGUUGACCUCGGCUUUGGAGACAUCCCACCCAAGAUCUGUAGGCAGAGUGGGGUCGCUUUGGGUCAGGCUUCUGCUAACAGGGCCUUCUUCAAAAUUAUAUCGCCUGCCAGAAUGUAUCAAAGUGGCAGGAGGGCACCCUUGACCCCGAGAGCCUGGGAGGGGGGUGGGUGGGGGGAGAGAGAAAGAAGGCUUUUUUAAAAAAAGAAAAAAACCCACAACCUUAUUUUUGAAUGACAUUAGUGUUUGCUCUGCCGCCUGGGGUGAAGAUGGGAGGUCACCGAAGGGUUAAUACGGUGCGUCCUGGUAAAUGUUCAUUCAGGACUUAAACAACCUUCAGGAAGGGAAGUGGGUCAAGCUGUCCCCCCUCCUCUCCCAUCCCACAUUUUAUUUUAUUUUGGACGGGAGGGAAGUGGGUCGAGGACAGGACCAUUAUGGCAAAAUGGCGAGUUUCUCAAAGUUGUUGUGGAAUUUUUCGGGGGGGGGGGGGCGCAUAAGAAUACAAUAGGACGAGCUGGCUGGAUCAGGCCACUAGCCCAUCGAGUCGUCAUCAUCAUCAUCAAACCUUUUAUUGGCAUCACAUACAAACAUCCAAAACAAAUCAAUUACCACUUCCCCAGUGGCCCAAAACAUUUGCUAAAACAAUGGAGGCAGAGCAGUCUAUCGUCAUACCAGCCCAUCUAGUCCAGUAUUCCAUUCUCAGGGUGGCCAACCAUUAUGGGAAACUCUCAAGCAAAAUUCUAGCGCAAGAGUUAUUCUCCCUUCCUGUGGCUUCCAGAAAUUGGUAUUCAGAAGUAUUCCUGCCUUCGACCAGAGAAGCAGAGAUAGCCAUCAGGACUAGUAGCCACCAAUAGCCCUCUUCACCUCCAUGAAUUUGUCCAAAUCUCAUUUAAAGAGACCCAAUUUGGUGGCCAUCCCCACCUCUUGUGGCAGUGAGUUCCACAGUUUAACUAUGUACUCACUGCCUGCAGAAGGACUUUUCUGCGCCCUGAAUCUUCCAGCAUUCGGCUUCAUGGGGAAACGAUGGGAGCCCCUUCACUUCCCAGAGAUCUCAGGAUCCUUUCCAACUCUGCACGUCUAUAAUUCUAGGUUCCAGCUUGUCAACAUCCAUCUUCAACUGAGACGCCCAGAACUGGACACAAUAUUCCAGGUGGAGGUCUGACCAAGGCAAGAUAAGAGUCGUACUAUCCCUUCCCUUGACUGGGACACUAGACUUCUGUUGAUGCAGCCUAGAAUAGUGUUAGCUUUUUUUUGCUGUUGCGUCACACUGUUGACUGCAAGUGAAAAUUAAGAAACAAGCUUUCAGGCUGAUUUGGCAACGUCCCUUGCAAGGACUUCCCAGUGAUUCUGCACUUGUUGCAAACUCCAUCCUGCACCAUCCACUUGGUCUGGCCCUCAGCUGGUUCUUCGUCACCCUUCCCCUCCCUUCCCCCGCUUCUCGCACUCAUCCAGCAAAGCCAAUUGGAUCUGACAAGACGCCUGAGCCUCCCGGUUUAAUCGUGGGUUAUGUUUCCCUCCAGUGACCACGCUGGCAAAGAUUAGCUGAGGGGCUCAGGAAAAAAACAACCCAAACACCUCUCCGUUCGUCCAGGGGCUCUUUAUUAAAGAGGCGUCGUCGUGGGAGAGGAAUUCGCCAGUAGGAACAGACAAAUCCAUCAGUUUUGGGUUCUCUCAGCUCCUCCUCUUCCAGUUCGGCUCUCCACAUCAGCUUUCAAUUCCUUCUUGACAAAAUGCUUGCAAAGGUUCGUCGGGGUACUUUAGCGUGAAUUUCCUUCUGUUUAUUUAUUGCAUUUACAAUGUAGCCUAAAGCUACAGGUUUUUAUUAUUUAUAUAGUUAAUAAUAAUAAUAAUAAUAAUAAUAAUAAUAAUUUAUUUGUACCCCGCCCAUCUGGCUGGAUUUCCCCAGCCACUCUGGGCGGCUUCCAUAGAAACCAAAAAUACACUAAAAUAUCACAGAUUAAAAACUUCCCUGAACAGGGCUGCCUUAAGAUGUCUUCUGAAUGUCAGGUAGUUAUUUAUCGCUUUGACAUCUGAUGGGAGGGCGUUCCACAGGGCGGGCGCCACUACCGAGAAGGCCCUCUGUCUGGUUCCCUGUAGCUUUGCUUCUCGCAAUGAGGGAACCGCCAGAAGGCCCUCGGCGCUGGACCUCAGCGUCCGGGCAGAACAAUGGGGGUGAAGACGCUCCUUCAGGUAUACUGGGCCGAGGCCGUUUAGGGCUUUAAAGGUCAACACCAGCACUUUGAAUUGUGCUCGGAAACGUACUGGGAGCCAAUGUAGGUCUUUCAAGACCGGUGUUAUGUGGUCUCGGUGGCCGCCCCCAGUCACCAGUCUAUAUAUAUAUUGAAUAUAAAAUAUUCAAUAUUUUUUCAAUAUUCAAUAUAUUCAAUAUUCAAUAUAUAUUCAAUAAUUUUUAAUUUUUAUUGUAAAUUUUAUUUACAACAUAACACAAACCCCCCACCCCCAGCACAGAAAUCCACCCCCAUCAGACGCGAACAUAACAAGCAACAAGCAUAAUAUACAACAAUACAAACAACCAAAUAAAAGACUUCCUUUAUCCUGUUUCUGGCAUCCUUAUUUACUUCUUAUAAGCUGUUUCCUUUAUGAAUAAUUAUUAAGAUUUUUCUAAUUAUAACUUAAAUAUCCACAAAGUCUCCUGCAGACAUUAAUCGAAACAAGUCCAGGUAUGUAUUUUAGGGCACUGUUUUGUGAAGUAUUCUCUGCAUUUCCCCCAUGCUUUUUGAAAUUCUUGUCAAGUGUGAUCUCUAAUUGCCUCUGUUAAUCUAGCCAGUUCAAAAUUGUGUGAACAAAUAUGGAAUGGCAAGACAAACUGUUAGAGUAUAUUUAUAUAGUAAUAUAUUCAGUGCCUUUUUUGGUGUGUGUGUGGGGGGUGGGGUACGCAGGGGUACGCAUACCCCUAAACAUUUUACGGUCUUCAAACAAAAACAUCUUGGAGGUCCCAGGCCACAGGGAGGUUAGGCUGGCCUCAACCAGAGCCAGGGCCUUUUCGGCUGUGGCCCCGAUCUGGUGGAACGCUCUGUCCCAAGAGACUAGGGCCCUGCAGGACUUGACAUCUUUCCACCAGGACUUUGGCCAAGGCACAGUCUGACCCCCUCUCUCCUUCUGUAAUCCUCACAGAACUCUAGCCCAAUGGUUGCCAUUAAUUUGAUUCUGAAUUGAUUUUAGAACGCUGUGUUACUUUUAUUGUUGUUAGCCGCUCUGAGCCCAGCUUUGCCUGGGGAGGGCGGGAUAUAAAUAAACUUUUAUUAUUAUACAGUGGUACCUCGGGUUAAGUACUUAAUUUGUUCCGGAGGUCCGUUCUUAACCUGAAACUGUUUUUAACCUGAAGCACCACUUUAGCUAAUGGGGCCUCCUGCCGCCGCCGCCGCACGAUUUCUGUUCUCAUCCUGAAGCAAAGUUCUUAACCCGAGGUACUAUUUCUGGAUUAGCGGAGUCUGUAACCUGAAGUGUAUGUAACCUGAAGCGUAUGUAACCCGAGGUACCCCUGUAUUAUUAUCUGUGAAUUUUUGUACUUUUGUCCAUUUACUGUAUUUAUUUUCCCGAUUUGAACUAUAAAAUGGUGAUUUUCUUGAGUCAAAAAACCCCUAAACAUUUUUAGGAAAAAAGCACUGUAUACAUUUAUGUGAAGCACUGCACACACACACACAAACACACACACUCGUGUGUCUCUGGUCUGAAAUGAGUUUUAACAGCUGGGCCGCUGCAUCUGGUAAAAGGGGGCUUACCACAGUCCGCCUGCGUAGUUCCUGCAGUGGUCAAAUGCCCCAAAGAACCUAGGUACCCAGAUAGACUGCCGCUGGAGCUGGAGCUGGAUGUCCAUAAGGACAUCGGAAGAGCCUGGCUGCAGGAUCAGGCCCGAGCGGCCCCAUCCACCACAGCCUCUUGUUCUCACAGUGGCCAACCAGGUGCCCCAAUCCUGCAACCAGGACCCGAGUUCAAAAGCCGCACCCAUGCGGCUUUCCAGCAACUGAUCUAUAUUCCUCAGCGGAGGGAGAACAUUUUUGCUCCCAUGAUGCAUUCCAGGCUUUUUUCUUAAGGCUUUGAGGUUGCAGUACCCAGAUUUCAGACGCCUGAGUCCUUCUGGAUGUGGCUGCAGGGUUGGUGUGUGUGUGUGUUGUUGUCCCGCUUUACUAUCAACUUGAUUCUUGAACUUUCUCGCAGGCCGUAUCAGCCCCAAAGAGCACACUCCGGCAGGGUUUCGGAGCCCUGUGGGCAACGCCCCCAAACAACUUGGUGCUUUUCAGCUCGCUGCCUGUCUACCGCCUCCCCUUUGGCCACAUGACCCCCUUCCUCCCCCCCCCUCCUCUGCAAAAUAACUUUUCCUUGUUUUUCGAUUUCCAAACAAGACAUCCCCUUGUCCCGUCCUGCUCGCCUCUGUUCCCCAGCAAAGGUCGCAACCUCUUUUGCCCUCUGCGUGACACGUUCGGUCACGCCUUUGCAGCAUUCCAGAAAACUGACAUUCCGGAUUCCCCAGAGAGAAGCCGAGAGAGAGAGAGAGAGGGGGGGGGUGUCUCUCCCUCCAACCCCUAACUAGGCAAGCCUCCUUCACCAUCACAUUGGCAAAUGCAAUAUUCAGAGAGAGAAAUCAACCCCAAAUUAGGAGCGUUUUUUUCUUCUAGGCCUUGUUUUUUAGGGGGAAGAUUUAGUGGUGAUUUUUUUAUUAAUUGCAAACUUUAUUGAAUUUAAACAACAACAGUGGCCAAGCAUAAAGCGUUGUCUUCCAGAUGCAAAGUCUUUUAUGUAGUCAUCCACAUGGCAUUGAAACACACUAAGGAAAUCUCUGAUAUUGCAGAUUAAGUCCACACCCAAAGGAUACGCUUCAAUCUCUAGAGCGUUAAAAUAAUUUCUCCUUAUUGGCUGCUGCGACUGAGAAGGAAGGGAGAUUACAGUGGUACCUCGGGUUACAGACGCUUCAGGUUACAGACGCUUCAGGUUACAGACGCUUCAGGAUACAGACUCUGCUAACCCAGAAAUAGUACCUCAGGUUAAGAACUUUGCUUCAGGAUGAGAACAAACCCAUCUUCCUUUGUUUUUCCUCUGAUCACCGUCCGAUGGUGAGUUAAGUGCCUCCAUAAGUACUAUAUUCCACUUAUAUCUAGAGCAUUAAGAUAAUUUCUUUUUAGCGGCUGCUGUGACUGAGAAAGAAGGGAGAUUACUGUGCUAUGGCUAAUAAACUGAUAUAAAUUGAGAAAUGGAGAUUUGAAAUUGACCGGGUGCCCAGGAAACGGAGCGUGGAAAUAAAGGCACCAGGACAGUGGUCUAAGAAGGUAUUGGCGUAGUGGUUGGUUUCAGUUCUCAUUUUUCCACUUUUCUGUUCAGUUGUCUGCAUUCCCACCACAAUUUGCAGUUAUUAUUAAAGUCUCUGUGAAAAUCCAUCAGUAUUUGGGUACCACUUUCCUCUAACAUACAAAGGUUUAUAUUGAUCUUAUUUCUAUUUACAUUAUUUCUAAGCUGCUCUUCCGUGAAAGUUUUCAACCUCAGAGGAGGGAACAAAGCAAUAACAAACAAACAGAGAUAGAAACAAUAAGCAAAAAUGACAAAAUCAUUAUAAACAGGACCGAUAAACAACUAAGAAGCAAAAUCCCAAUGCGACUUAAUAUUUCCAAUUUAACAAAGUUCCAAGUACAUGCAAUUUUGCUUAUUUUUGACAUUUCUGAAAAGCAAAUUUUUGAAAAGCAAAUUUCCCCUAAUAUACAGUAACUGCAUUUUUAUGAAAGCUUCCAUCGAGUGCAUUUUCCAGGCCACAGUCACACCCUGCAUUCAAUGAACCAUGCUGCCACUUUAAACAGUCACGGCUUCCCCCAAAGUCUCCUGGGAGCUGUAGUUUCUUCAGGGUGCAGAGAGUUAUUUUGGAGAUCCCUAUUCCUUUCACAGGACGCGGGUGGCGCUGUGGGUAAAACCUCAGCGUCUAGGACUUGCCAAUCGAAAGGUCGGCGGUUCGAAUCCCCGUGGCGCGGUGAGCUCCCGUUGCUCGGUCCCUGCUCCUGCCAACCUAGCAGUUCGAAAACACCCCCGGGUGCAAGUAGAUAAAUAGGGACCGCUUACUAGCGGGAAGGUAAACGGCGUUCCGUGUGCUGUGCUGGCUCGCCAGAUGCAGCUUGUCACGCUGGCCACGUGACCCGGAAGUGUCUGCGGACAGCGCUGGCUCCCGGCCUCUAGAGUGAGAUGAGCGCACAACCCUAGAGUCUGUUAAGACUGGCCCGUACGAGCAGGGGUACCUUUACCUUUACCUAUUCCUUUCACAGACCUAUAAUUCUGAGAGGGCUUUAGCAAGCAAUCCCUUUCCACAGGGAGCUCUGGGAAUUGUAGUUCUGGGGAGCAAGGGAUAGAGGGGGUCUCCUAACAAAUCUCAGAAGUCUUGAACUACAGUUCCCAGAAUCCUUUGGGGGGAAGAAGCAAGGGCCGUUUAAAAUAGUAUCACAGCGCUUUGAAUGGAUGGUGUUAAGGCGGCCAAAGUUUCUACCUCUGGGGAGUGCUGGGAAGAUGGGAAAGAUUUGAAUUCGAAGGACCGAUUGCCUCAGUGUGAGACAGCUUUGCAUUUAGUUCAGCCCAUAAGGACUAGAAGCUUAGAUUUUUUUUAGUGGAAUGGCUUGUAUCAGCCCUCCUGCAUGGCUGUUGCUCGUUGGCUUGGAGGUAGCAGUCAAACCGAGCAAGGUAGAAGUCCCAUGAUUCAGAGGCUGGGGCAAACGGCGGUAGAGGCACAAGUGAAGCCAUGGUUCCAAUGCUGGCGUGGAGGGCGAUGGAUGGAACACAGUGCUCUAGCCAGAACGGUCAGCUCUGAAUUGGUUCUGUUCAGUGGUUUUGCUCGGUGUUUCAGUUCAGUGAUUCAGCUCAGCUCAGCUCAGAGAGUGGGCGCAUCUGGCUGUGCUCUGAUGUCCAUCGAUCCCAUCCUCAUCACCAGUGUUAAGUUGUGGGUGAACAUAUCAGACGACAUAGCGAUUCUUCAAACAGCUCUUGUUUAUUCACAGGCCAGAACAGAACUGAACUGAAGGGCUCAGCCAGCCUGCUUAUAUAGAGCUCCAGUACAACGUAACUGUAACAACUUUCUGUAACUAUCCAAUCACUGAACGUCACUUUCGAUCCCUUAUUUGCAUAUGUGGACCUGAACUGUCUACAGUAUCCCCCUGCUGGCCCAGGGUGAGAACUUCAGGACAUAACAGAAUGGAUGGUGUUAAUGCGGCCAGAGUUUUCACCUCUGGGAGUGCUGGGAAGAUGGGAAAGAUUUGAACUCGAAGGACCGAUUGCCUUAGUGUGAGACAGCUUUGCAUUUAGUUCAGCCCAUGAGGACCAGAAGCUUAGAUUUUUUUUUAGUGGGAUGGCUUGUAUCAGCCCUCCUGCGUGGCUGUUGGCAGAUCACCACCAACAAACAAACACACACACACACACAGAGAGAGAGAGAGAGAGAGAGAGAGAGCUGUACCCCUCUAAGGGGAGCUGGCUUUGGAGAAAUCGCUUUCCCAAGCUCUGAUUGAUGACCAUGCCACCUGUCCGUGGAAAUCUCUGCUCAGCCGACAUUUUAAAACAGCCCCGCGCUUGCCUCUGACCUCACCUGUUCCGGGUGGUCUUUCGAGGGUCACCGAGGGCGUACCUAGAGGCGAAGAGGUCAGAGGGAGCCGUUUCUGGAAAGACGCCUUUUUCUCUUGCUCCCCACAACCUCCCAGCCUCUUCCAAGACAGCUGAGGAGCUCCUCGUUUUAAAAAUAUCAUGUAAGGGCCUGCCAAAUAUUUCCCCCUCUCUCGGAGAGUGGAAAUCAAGGAAAUCUUAAUUUGUCUGUGUGGCUGGGGGCGUCAUUGCAGAUUUGAGACACAUUAAGGACAUUUUUAACCAAGGCUGGUCUGGCAUAGAACUUGGUUUCUGGGCCAGUUUUUCAGGGCGACAGGUACCUCUGAGCAUGCGCAGAGUGCUCCUCCGCUAGUUAUUUACUUAGCUGGUAAAAAUGCUUGAUAUGAGUCCCCUGAGCAAUUCGCAACUCCAAAACCUUCAUUAAAAACUGAUAAAAGAGAGUUUAAAUAUAAACAAAACCUGCAAUUUUAAGAUAAUGAUGCAGAAUUACCGUAUUUUUCGCUCUAUAGGACGCACUGUUCCCCCUCCAAAAAUUAAGGGGAAAUGUGUGUGCGUCCUAUGGAGCGAAUGCAGGCUCCUUGGCUUCAGUGAUAGCAACGCAAAGCCUGCAAAGCGCAGAGGAACCACUCCUUCCGCGCUCCGGAGGCUACGCGUUGCUUUCGCUGAAGCCUGGAGAGCGAGAAGGGUCGGGGCGCACCGACCCCUCUCGCUCUCCAGGCUUCAGGGAUAGCCGCCUGAAGCCUUUGGAGCGCAGCGGGAACUCGUGCUGCGCUCCGAAGGCUUCGGGUUCCUUUUGCUGAAGCCGGGAGAGCAAGACUCUCCCGGCUUCAGCAGAGAGGGAGAGCUGUGCAGCGCCCCUUCAGCCAAGCGGGAGGAGAAAUGGAAGGGGCUCCGUUUCUCCUGCUGCUUCACUGAAGGGGCGCUGAGCAGAGAGAGGGAGGAUUUUUUUGUUUUGUUCUCCCCCUCUAAAACAAGAUGUGUCCUAUGGUCGGGUGUGUCCUAUAGAGUGAAAAAUACGGUAAAUGGCAAGUUAAACGUGUGUGUGAUUGACAGCUUCUAGACCAGGGAUGAUGCACACACACACAUUUCAGGACCGGGAGGUAAAUGUGGCCCUCCAGACCUCCCUAUCAGGCCCUUGAAGCUCUUCUCAGGCCACACCCACUCCCCUAGACCACGCCUCCUCUCCCCAAGCCACUCCUCAAGCCAGCCCCUCUUGAGUGUUUUGGUGCAUGCUUGGUAAAAUGUAAAGGUUGCCAUGUGCCCAUAAUUUCACAGAUAUAGCUGGUGGAAAUCGCUGAGAUGUCUGGAGAAAUCUAGACGCGUGUAGAUUUUGGUGAAUUUCCUUGAAACCAGCUCAAACAGCUUUGCCAAAAACAAAACAAAACUCAACGAGCUUGGUUUUCACUUUCUGAAAUAUGGCAACCCUAUGAUAAAUGAGAUUUGUACAUUGUCCUUCAUCCAAAGGUCGCAGGGCAGUUGGCAACAUAAAAAUACAAAAUUCAUAAUGAAAGGAAAGCAAACCCAUAAUUCACGCCCCCCAUGAACACAGUUUAAAACACCAUAGAUUUUUUUAAUCGGCCAAAGUCCUGGGAGAAGAGGAAUGUUUUUACCUGCCCCCUAAAGAUAUUCAAAGAGCAUCGCACCAGCAGGGAGCCACUGCAGAGAAGGCCCUGUCCUCGCGUUGCCUUCCUCCGCACCUCUUGCUUACCUGGGUGGAGAACAGAGAGGGGCGUAUUUCAUCUUCUGUACACAAGGCAAACUUCACAACCUCGCACACUUUUCCUUUGUCCCCCCCCACCACUCGCCCCCCAAGCUGCCCAGAAGGGAAUGAGGUCUGCUGCCCCAGCGGCCGCUGUUCUAGCCAAUGAAAGCUGCCUUUCAACUUCGCAACAGGUGUGAUUUGCCCUAACCCUAACCUUUAAAGCCCUAAACGGCCUCGGUCCAGUAGACCUGAAGGAGCGUCUCCGCCCCCAUCGUUCUGCCCGGACACUGAGGUCCAGCGCCGAGGGCCUCCUGGCGGUUCCCUCAUUGCAAGAAGCAAAGCUACAGGGAACCAGGCAGAGGGCCUUCUCGGUAGUGGCGCCCGCCCUGUGGAACUCCCUCCCAUCAGAUGUCAAAGCGAUAAAUAACUACCUGACAUUCAGAAGACAUCUUAAGGCAGCCCUGCUCAGGGAAGUUUUUAAUCUGUGAUAUUUUAGUGUAUUUUUGGUUUCUAUGGAAGCCGCCCAGAGUGGCUGGGGAAACCCAGCCAGAUGGGCGGGGUACAAAUAAUAAAUUAUUACAGCGGUACCUCGGGUUAAGAACUUAAAUCAUUCUGGAGGUCCGUUCUUAACCUAAAACUGUUCUUAACCUGAAGCACCACUUUAGCUAAUGGGGCCCUCCGCUGCCGCCACCAGAGCACGAUUUCUGUUCUCAUCCUCAAGCAAAGUUCUUAACCCGAGGUACUAUUUCUGGGUUAGCGGAGUCUGUAACCUGAAGCGUAUGUAACCUGAAGUGUAUGUAACCCGAGGUACCACUGUAUUAUUAUUGCUGAAGAAAACCCACUGCACGGCCCUGUUCUCCGAUGAGGACUAGAAUCUUGAUGCUUUCUGGCUAAACUCUCUGGCUCCUUCCCAACUGGUGGCCUCCCUCCUUGUGCGCCGGAGACGACAGCUGCGCCGAAGAAUGUGCUUUGCACAGUUCCCCGUCUUUUUCUCAGGGUCUCAAAUCCCAAUUGGGCUAACCUCCUGAGACCUCUCCUUGCGGAAGGCAGGCAGCCAGCCAGCAAGGGGUUAAGAGUAGGAUGUUCCCCAACAAUACUAUUGGGGGGGUGCAAGGAGGCGGCAGCAGUGGCGUUGGGGGGGUGUGAGACCUCCCUCCCUCCAGACUCUUCUUGGGCCUCCAGACUCGAAAAAACAAGAACACAAGGUCAACGCAGGAACUUAUUAAUCUGCCUGCAUGACGCCAGGCCUGGCCAUAAUUUUACGCGGAUAAUUAACUCCUUCCCGGACGAGGAAACGGGAGGGUCGCGUGUCACCCGGACCCGGCUCUUUCGCGCGGACGUGGCCGCGGCUGGACGGAGCCGCUUUCUCGCCUUCACUUCCUGGAUUCCCAGGCCACAGGCGGUGGCCCCCCUGUUGCUCCGACUCCAUCUGGGACACGGGAAUCGUAGGGUUCCCCCAAAGGUCAUCUAGUUCAACCCCUGGCUGAAAUAGAGGAAUCACAAGCUAAAUAAGUCCUGGUAGCGCUGUGGAUUAAACCACGGAGCCUAGGACUUGCCGAUCAGAAGGUUGGUGGUUCGAAUCCCCGCGACUGGGUGAGCUCCUGUUGCUCAGUCCCAGCUCCUGCCAACCUAGCAGUUCGAAAGCACAUCAAAGUGCAAGUAGAUAAAUAGGUACCACUCUGGUGGGAAGGUAAACGGCGUUUCCAUGUGCUGCUCUGGUUCGCCAGAAGCAGCUUUGUCAUGCUGGCCACAUGACCUGGAAGCUGUACGCUGGCUCCCUUGGCCAAUAAGUCGAGAUGAGUGCUGCAACCCCAGAGUCGGCCACGACUGGACCUAAUGGUCAGGGGUCCCUUUACCCUUUACCUUUAGAUGGUCACUCAGCUGCUCCUUUAAAAACUCCAGUGGCGGAGAGUUCCAAGUUCAGAGAAUCUUGGAACCAGAAUCUAGGCCAGCCCCUUGCAAUGCAGGAACCACAGUUAAGAAUCCCAGGCUCCUGGGGUAUUUUUUUGGUGUGUGUUUGUUCCUUAACUUUCUUCCAGGGGUUCCAGGCACAAAACAGAGGGAGCUUCCCCUCUGCUCCAUCGCUGCGAGUCUGCUAUGAGAAAAGGUUGCAGCAGCUGGAGAUUUUUAGGUUAGAGAAAAGGCGCCACGACAUAAAACGAUGCAAGGCGUCUUCCUCUCUCUCUCCUAACUCCAAUGAAGCUGAAUGCUGGAAGAGCUCUGAUUGCGGCAAAAUGGAAGAGUAAUGAAAUCCCCUCUAUACAAGAUUGGAUCCAAAAGCUGACAGAAUAUGCCGAAUUAGACGGUCUAUCAGAAAAAAAUAAAGAAUAAAUCAAAACAGGAAUUUGUUUCAAAAUGGGAGGUUUUCAAAGAAUAUUUGAAAAAUAAAUAUUGUAGUUUAAAUUCUGUUGCAGCAUUCGAGGAACUUCAGUAAUAGUUGCAAGGUAGAUAUAAGAAAUUAGAUAUGUUAAGGAAAAGUUUUAUUAUGUUAAAAUUGUGUGUUGGCAAUAAGUAAUAUGAAACCGAAAUAUGGAAUAGAUGGGAGGUUGUGUCUUUAGUGUUAAGACCAAUAUUUGUUUUAUUGUUUGUUAAGAAAAUUAUGUGUCUAUGGUUAUUCCUGUGUGUAAUUUGGUAUUUGUGGUUUUUUCUUUUUUCUUGCUGUAUCAAAAAAACAAAACAAAACAAAAACAAGACAAAAAAGAAGCUGAAUGCUGGGAGACUCAGGACAAAGACAAGAAACUCUGUCGUCAUGCGGUGCAUUGUUAACCUGUGGAACUCCCUCCCACAUGAGGCAGCCAUGGCCAAGUGGCUUUAAAAGAGGAUUGGACAAGUUCAUGGAGGAGGAGGAGAGGGCUAUUGGCUGUGCUCUGCCCUAUACAUUUGGGGGCAGCAAUGCUUUGGAAUGAUGUAUGGAAGUGAGAGCUGGACCAUAAAGAAGGCUGAUCGCUGAAGAAUUGAUGCUUUUGAAUUCUGGUGCCGGAGGAGACUCUUGAGAGUCCCAUGGACUGCAAGAAGAACAAACCUAUCCAUUCUGAAGGA